CUUCUGUAACAUGUCUGCCCAGCCAAAUUGAACACAAAGCACAGCACAUGUUAACAUACAGGACAAGACGGGAAAUAACUGUAGGAAUUUUUAAGAAAAGGAAACUAAUGUGAAAGGAUAUAGAUGUUUAUCUGCAUGGAAAAAAAUUGCAGAAUGGUUACAGUUGGAAGGGACCACAGCUGGUCAUCUAGGCCAACCUUCCUGCUCAAGCAAUAAUCUUCAGAAUGGUAGAAAGGAGAACUUUUUAAGCUGAGAUUUACCACUUCAGAGUAGUAAAUACACUUUUGUUGCGCUGUCGCUGCACAGGAUCUUCAAGCCUCUUCACUGUUUCAAUCAUUUUGCCAUUGAUCUCCAGCUCUGCUUUCUUCACCAUUGCCCUCAG